rnacentral:ncRNA from 1 species
AAGGAGGGAAAAAGAAAAAAUUUUAUCAACCGCAGAUGGAUUAAGGGAAAGGGGUGUAAUUCCCCUGCUGUCCCGCAACUGUAAUGGCCACGAAAGCCGCCGGAAAGCCACUGUCCUGAGCAAAGUCGAAGGAUGGGAAGGCGCGGCAAGUAGGACCUUCAAGCCUGAUCAAAAAGGUUCCAGAUGCCAGGCGCGCGAAGAGUCGUGAGCGGAGGCGUACUUUAGCAGUACGUUGAAGCGAGUGGGUCGAGCGCAACGAAGCAGAUGGGCCUUUUUCAGCAGGCGACUAAAGCCUAAGCCAGGAGACCUGUCCGUUCUGCCCUAACACU